AAUUGUUGGUUGACUUUAAUGUGGAAGGAAGUCAUAAUAAACAGAGACUUCUAAAUUACCCACAAUUUGUUAAUAUACUAUUUCAAGGAACUUAUGAUGAGAAUAGUUCAGAAAAAUCUUUUAAGAAUACGUUAUGAGACGCUUUAAAGUUGGCCAAAAAUAGAUUUUUUAAAGAAAAAAAAUCUAUAGAAAAGGCAAAAAAAUCUAUAGACUCCCUCAAAGAUGGGGAUUCGGAAAAGGUCUUGCAACUCACAGACAAUAAGUUGGUAUUAAAAUACCCCUCAAUUUUUUAGUUCUCAACAAUUAUUUUUUUUAUUUAAUUAAAUAUUGAAUUUGCUUUAUUUUGUACCUGUUUUUUUAGUUUUAAAAAAUAUUAUAUUAAAUAUAAUUAAAUUAUUCAUAUUUCUUACUUAUCAACAAUUUGUUUUGUAUAUAUUCAAAUAUUGAAUUAAAUUUAUUUUAUUUAUCCUAUUGAAUAUGUACCUCCAAUUGAAUAUGUACCUGUUUUUUUUAUUGAAUGAAAGCCUUUAAUUUUAAUAAAUAUUAAAUUAUUUAUAAUUAAAUAA